rnacentral:lncRNA from 1 species
UACUUCUGGGAGGCGACCUAGAUCAUUGCAUUUUAUUUUUUUUUUCAAUUUAAUUAGGAGCUACUUCAAGAUUACCUCAGCCAAGUUGGGGGGAGAACUACAUUUGCUAUCCUCAAGGCCUAGACUGAGCCGAGAACAAAUUAAACCCAUGUGAACUUCUUUUUUUUUCUUUCUUUUUAUGUAUCAUGCUCUAUUUCUCUCAUCCAUUGAGGAUAAUGUCAUUUAAGUUGGGGGAGAA